UUUUGUAAAAAGUUUGAGAUGAGCAUCAUUUCUCUAAUAAAAAUACUUAAUCUAAGGAACCCAUACUCUAGUUAAAGUCUUUAUAUAAAUACUAGGUACUAGAAGAAGUAUCAAGUCAAAGUAAUCAUGUGGAACCAAGCAUUCGCCGUGACCAAGAAAGUUAGCAUCUUUCGAAAGUGGCAACAACAACAACAACAACAGAUAAAAUUUGAAUUUAGUAAUAGUCGUACAUGUCAGUACUAGGUACUACCAACUAUGCUCAUAGAGAACAUAGAUAAGAGAAAUAGAGAGAUAAAGGGAACACAAUUAUUUUUUUCUAGUUCACAAUAGAGGGUUGCUGCAUCUAAUAUUCCCUUUACAGAGAGAUUUUGCUUCAAUACAGUUGAUGACUUGAUCUACAAUUUCAAUAAUAGUAUACAAAUAUUGUUUACUCUAUUUCUUCAAGCUUUGAGUGUUCUUCUCUAGCCUCUCCAUACUACCACCGUUAGAACCCUUCUUCAACAUUAUGGUAGCCUAUCGUUGAGGUUCAUAAGUGUUGUUGUACCUCUUCAGAUACCUCUUAAGGGUGAGAGAAUUAUUGUCACUAUCGAGUUGAUUUACAUCAGUUCUAGUUUGUGUCUAAAUUGACACAAAGUCUAUUUAUGAUAUUCUAAGUCUCAUUGAAAUGAUGUUAGAUAUCAAAUCUUAUGUUAG
rnacentral:lncRNA from 1 species